rnacentral:rRNA from 1 species
CGCUAAAAGAUGAGCCUGUGGAGGAUUAGGUAGUUGGUAUUGGGUAAAAGCCUACCAAGCCUAUGAUCCUUAGCUGUUCUGAGAGGUUGUACAGCCACACUGGGACUGAGACAAGGCCCAGGCUCCAUUCGGAGCCAGCAGUGAGGAAUUUUGGACAAUGAGCGAAAGCUUGAUCCAGCAAUACUACAUGAGUGAAGAAGGCUUUCAAGUUGUAAAACUCUUUGGUUGGGGAGGAUAAUGACAGUACUCAACAAAAUAGCCCCGGCUAACUUCGUGCCAGCAGCCGCGGUAAGACGAAGGGGGCGAGCGUUAUCCGGAAUGACUGGGCGUAAAGGGUCCGUAGGCAGUAUUUUUUGUUAGAGGUAAAAGAAAAAAGCUCAACUUUUUUUGGCUUCUAAAACGUAAACGCUUUGAGUUUGAAAGGGGAUAGCAGAAUUUCACAUGGAGGGGUGAUAUCCGUAGAUAUGUGAAGGAAUACCAGAGGCGAAGGCGGCUAUCUAGUUCAAUACUGACGUUGAGGGACGAAAGCAUAAAAAGCAAACAGGAUUAGAUACCCUGGUGGUCCAUGCCUUAAAAGAGGGGUGCUCGUGUUUAGAGAUUUUUAGGCAAUUAGUUAACACGUUAAGCACUCCGCCUGGGGAGUACGACCGCAAGGUUGGAACUCAAAGGAAUUGACGGGGGUCUAUACAAGUGGUGGAGCAUGUGGUUUAAUGCGACAAUACGCGCGAAACCUUACCAGUUCUUGACAUAGAAAAGAAAAACUCUGAAAGGAGAAUUUUAAAGAUUUUUACAGGUGCUGCAAAAAAGUCGUCAGCUCGUGUCGUGAGAUGUUAGGUUAACUCUUUUUAACGGGCGAAACCCCUGUUUUUAGUUGC